GCCAGACUCCUACGGGAGGCAGCAGUGGGGGAUAUUGCACAAUGGGGGGAACCCUGAUGCAGCGACGCCGCGUGGGUGAAGAAGUAUUUCGGUAUGUAAAGCCCUAUCGGCAGGGAAGAAAUUGGACGGUACCUGACUAAGAAAUCCCGGCUAACUACGUGCCAGCAGCCGCGGUAAUACGUAGGGGGCAAGCGUUAUCCGGAUUCACUGGGUGUAAAGGGAGCGUAGACGGCCAUGCAAGCCUGGAGUGAAAGCCCGGGGCCCAACCCCGGGACUGCUCUGGGAACUGUGCGGCUGGAGUGCGGGAGGGGCAGGCGGAAUUCCUGGUGUAGCGGUGAAAUGCGUAGAUAUCAGGAGGAACACCGGCGGCGAAGGCGGCCUGCUGGACCGCGACUGACGUUGAGGCUCGAAAGCGUGGGGAGCAAACAGGAUUAGAUACCCUGGUAA
rnacentral:rRNA from 1 species